ensembl:lncRNA
AUAUGGAGGUUCCCAGGGGAGGGGUCUCAUCAGAGCUGUAGCCCCCGGCCUGCACCACAGCCACAACAACGCAGGAUUCGAGCCGUGUCUGCGACCUACACCACAGCUCAUGGCAACGCUGGAUCCUUAACCCACUGAGCAAGGCCAGGGAUCAAACCCACAACCUCAUGGUUCCUAGUUGGAUUCGUUAACCACUGCGCCACAAUGGGAACUCCUCACUAGUCCCUCAGGGGAAAGGUGGCAGAGGCCAGACCUCAGCCAGGCCCAGAUCUCCAACCUAGUCCCUGGACAAGCCCCACAGAGCCUCAUGGGAUGGUUGCUGGGGAGAAUUCCCAGGCACAGAUGGAGGCAUUCCGGCUCACUGGAUGUCAGAGCAUGGCUCUGUCGCAGGUGGCCUGGCUCGCACUUUGCACCCACAGGCACGACCCUGCUGCCAAAGGGCAUCAAGGGGUCCAUUUACAACUGGGCCUGAUGGCAACUACACACCCCGGUAUCCAGGGAACCCAAACACUGACAAAUCGGCACUUGUCCCCACACUCUCUCCUGUCUAUCAAGCCUGAAGGAAACUGAACUGGUGUCCCCUCUUCUCCUGUCUGUUUUUAUAAUAACACUUUAAUGAAGAUACAUUCACAUCCAUACGAUUCAUCCACUUCAAGUGUACAAUGAAAGGACCAUGUCAUGAUAAUUUUUGGCCGCACCUGUGGAAUGGGGACGUCCCUGGGCCAGGGAUCGAACCCGCACCACAGCAGUGACCUGAGCCACAGGAGGGACAGUGCUGGCUCCUUAACCUCCUGAGCCACCAGGGAACUCCUGGUUUUUAAUGCAAACAGCACCAUGAUUAAUUUCAGAACAUCUGACCCCUCUGAAGCCGGCAGCUCCUAGCAGCGAGCUGGUUCUGAGCUCACCUCCCAAGUCAUCCUUCCGUCACAGCGAUGACCUUUGGGAGGGGAAACUCUUUCUGUGAUGGUUCUGCCCGACAGGUACCGCUCAGAAGUGGGACAGCCCCCUCCCCACCCAGCCCCAGGCGCCAACGCGCAGCCCUCUCCAGACAAGAUUCAGGGCAGCAGGAAAGCAGCAGCUACAACUUUAACUCAGGCCCGUCGUUGCAGGGACUCCUAUUAUCCUCCAGCAUCUCUUCAGAGGACAAGCUAUCAAAGUGCACAGGCAGGACUUUAUGUAACCAUCUAACAAUAACUCAAGAUGUUAUCAGUAAAACAUUCUGGCAGCAGAGGUGAACUCAGGAACGUGCUCGAAUUGCCUCCCUGUGACGAGGGAUGAAAAGAAGCCCCAAAAGUUGUUCUCAAGGAGGAAACCAGGACACAAAGUGGGUCAGGCUCCCAGAGGCACGGCAGGUUUUCAAGGCCCCGGUUCACCCAUGCAACUGCCCGCCCAGGGUCCCAGAUGCAUCCCCGGGGCACUGGGGCCCCACCACUCUGUCCCAUCGUGAGAAGAUGCUUCCAACUGGACACCGAAGUAAGGAGAUGGACAAGUGCAAGCAGAAGAACAGGACAGGAGGUGCAAUCUCAGGUAGAGAAUAAAAGUUGGGUUCACUUCCCUGUGUGACCUUUUACCUUGCCCUGUGACCUGGGGCAGGGGUUUCUGCAGCUUCUGAGCCUUGGCUCCCUCAUCUAAAAGGAGAGCUGAACUCUCCUAUCCCCUGCUGCUCACCCCAGGGCCUUUGCACAUCCUACUGCUUCUCCCUGAGGGUUCCUCCCUCAAACCUAACCUGCUCAAGUAUCACUUCCAUGAGAGAAUCUUCUUACCCCCAGCCUCCAUCACGUAUGCUCCCGCACUAGGAGUCCUUCCCACCUCUCUUCCCCACAGCCUACACGUUCCCUUCCGAGCACUUCUGUUUAGGAUCAUACGUUUACUAAAAUGAGUGCCUGCCACUCUUCCAGUGAGACACGUGCCUACUGGUUCAUCCCUGUCUCCUAGUGCCUGGCACAGCGCUGGGCAUGCUGGACAGACUCAGUGCUUUUAUUUUUCACUGAGGGUCAGUGUGGCAUGGUAGCUGAGAACUUGGGCUCAGAACAGCAGUUGGGCAAACACUUUUAAAGGGUCAGAGGUUUCUGUCACAACCACUCAACUCUGCUGCUACAACGCAAAAGCCACCAGAGACGAUUUGUAAAUGGGUGAGUGUGGCUGAGUUACAGUAAACGCUUUAUUUACAGAAACAGAUGGUGGCCCCGCAGGCCACUGUUUGACAACUUCUGCUCUAGAGUCACAGCAUGAAUUCACAGUAUGUGAAUUCGAGUCCUAGCUCUCCAGCAAUGGACUUGACCUCUUGGUAGCUCAGAGGUCAGAUGAGCUAGCCCAUCUGACACAUCAGACUGGGCUGUAGGGGGAUUAAACAGUGGCCAGAACACAGUAAGCACUCAAUGUGCGUUGUCCUCAUCACUAAAGUCAUCAUCAAUGAUGGUGCUGAUGAGAGCAUCAGGGACCACACCUCCCAACCCGAGGCACUUAGCAUGUGGUGGCUGCCAUGGUGGUGACCUUAUUAAUGAUGAGGCUGAGGAGGAUGAAGCCAACCCUGAUGAGGAGACAGGCAACCAGGGGAGGCCCAGGAAGGAAACAGAGAGCUCAACAACUCUUCUCGGGUGCACAGAGGCUCUAUGACAUCUGACACAUGCCAGUCUGGAUGGCCAGACAGGUGGCCCGCCAGUCACCUCUCCCAACUGAUCCAUUUGCUUCUCUGGCAGAGCUCAGACAGGGACCAUUGUGGCUCCAGCUCUCGGGCUGUCCACUGAAGUCAGGUUUCUCAAGAGGCAGGGAGACCAGGCCAAAUGACAUGGCACCUCCAUUUCCAAGGGACAAGGACCUCUCCUGCUGAGAGCUGGCCAGGAGGUUAGUUUUCCUGGUUCAGCCAGCAAAGCUAAGACUUCAGUACAGGGUCGGUCCCCCACGAAGUCAGGCAUUCCUGUGGAUGCAAAGCAGACAGGCAUGGAGCUCAUGAGCCACGUGGGGAGUCCUAACAAAAUGGCCCUGUGUGACCAACAUCCCUGAGCUCUGGCUGACCCCUCCCCCAAGGUGAGGUCCAGGCAGCAGUCCCAAGUUAAUUCUGUCUUGCAAAAUAAACUAACAGAGCAAUACUUAAUUAGUCACAGCUAUUGAAUUCACAGUGCUCAGUCAGACCAGGGAUUCUCUAGAAUCAUUAAAUGACAGUAUAUCAGGUCCUCCUGCUCUUAUACACACACACACACACACACACACCACACUCUGAAGCUACUGGUGGCAGCUUGCAAACAAAUAAUAAAGAGCCUCAGAGGGAUGAAAGACACACAGGAUUGUCGCACUUUAAAUGAGUUAUGGAUCUGCAAUUUGCCCCCAUCCUGUUCCCCCAAGAGGGCAGGGCGGUCACCUGGGAAGGAGGUGGGGAAAGGAUGGGACGAUGAAAUGACCCACAUGACACGAUCCGCUCCGACCAAAGUGAGCAUCCGAGUGCUGGGCCCCCGGCACUCGCGUCCCGCCCACACGCAGGGAGGUUCAGCGGUGGGCGCCCCGGGCCUUUGCGCAGGCUGGCUCCUGUGGGUGGCAGCCCUUCCCCCGCUGUCACCCGGCUGCCUCCCCCGGUGUCGAGGCUCAGCUCGGAAGCCUUCUCGGACCCUCACCCCCAGGGAGGCUUCCUCCCCUGCUGCCUUCCCCCGACCCCACCUCUCCACACCCUCCAGGGCGCACUGGUGCGGCCUCUGAGUUCACCUCUCCCGUGAGCCUGGCCUGCUCAGUGACUGGCACACGGCAGAGGCCUGAUUGGCACUGGUAUUAAUGAACAAAGGGAUCCACCUCACUGACCCUCCAAGGCCAACCUUCAGCCACGUUUAUACUAUUACUGCAAGUUCUACGAGUACCACGAAUACCACGAGUACUGCUACUGCUACAAGUACUUAGCAGUACCUACAGCUAAUACUGACGAAACACACACUGCUACCCUGAACACAUCACACACUUUUCCUACAAUUCUCCAAACCACCCUCCAAGGCAGCUCCACUUCAGCGGGGGAACGGCCCAGGGAGGCCAAGCAAGGAGCCCAAGGUCACACAGACUCUGUGCCGUGGAGCUGGGGGACGCUGGGCACUCAGGCUCAAGACUUCCUCCUUACCCGGCACGGGGCCAGGCCUCGCACAUACCAGUCACUCUCAAGCUUUUUACUGUAUCCUGUGGAACCUAUGCUAAGGUUUCCUUACUUUGUCUAAUCGACCCAUUUUUUUUACAUUACCUGUCCUAAGCCAUGGAACUCUGAAGUCACAGAUUUGAUGGGUUAUGUUCUAUUUUCUAAAACUUAGUCAAGUAAAUAUGGAAGUAAAACAUAUUCAUCAGUACCGCGAGAGAAACCAACACAAGUUCACCAAUUUGGGAACACAGCCCAGCACCACAGCGCCCCCCGCUGGCCAGCUGGUGUGCAGCCUCACCUGCAGCUUCCAGAGGACCUAGUCAUGGGAUUCUGAGGACAGUACAGGCGAGGCACUGCGGGGGCUGGGGUGAGCAAGGAGGGACACACACAUGAACAGGAUACAUCUUGGGGCAGCUCUAGCUUCUGCUCUCAGCAUGAACAUUACCUGCAUACCUGUUCUCCCCAGGAUGCUCACCUGGGAGCUGACCUCCCCACCCACCCCACCUCCAGGGCUGGGUUAUCAUUUGGAGCUGGCUAAUUGGGUCUUCAUUCUCCCCAGCAACAGGAACUAACUCAGGGAUAGGCACGCAUUCUGGCCCCAUGUGAGCCAAUGAGAGUCAAACCUGAAACUUUUGUUUGACGGCUCAGAGCCCAGAAGCUCUGCCUUGCCCACUGGACAAGAAGACCAGAGGGCUGGAGCUGCUGUGGCCAUCUCAUGCCUGGAAGACACAGAGUGGAAACUCUAGCAAAGAGGCUCAGACACAGAGAAAAGAAGUGGACACUGGAUCCAGCCAUACCUGAAGCCAAAAUUUAACUGGGUCUUGAGAGCCCAUGAAUCCCCUUUCUGCUUCUGUCAACUUGCAUUGGAGUUUCUGUCACUUACCAUCAAGAGGAUACACAGGCCCUCCACAAGUGCUCAGGGAAGCAAAGUUUAUUUCUAAUAACUGCAUGAUAAAAAUAAACCUAUAAAAGAGGGCUUACAAAAAGCAUUCAGCUGAAUAAGCAUUUCGGAAACUAAAGGAUCAACGAUUCUGACUGAAUAGAUCAUUCUUCCCCUGUCCUUAGGCAUAAGUCAGUUGACCUGAGACAAAAAAUGACAGCAAGUUAUCUUUUCAUGCCACUAAAAGGCUGAACGGCUUGACAAGCCACAUAUUGUGCCACCAGUAACUAGAAAGCACGGUGCAAUAGGGAAAAGGGUGCUUGCAGAUGGAGUGUCACUCAAGCUACUCUUUGCUUCAGGACAAUUACCCAGAAAAAGCAUGUUUUGCGAGGCAGACUGCGUGAUAAUGACUCCAAAGCAAAAACAUGGGCUUCCUCUAUUUAGACUCACGGG